rnacentral:lncRNA from 1 species
GGGGCAUUUGUUGUGACAUCGGUGCAGGACACCACUAGCAUGGACAUGCUCAAUGUGAUUUAGCUAUUUUACCUAAAUAAAUUGCAAUCAUCACAUACGUUUCUUUUUUUUUUGGCAAGCACAUACGUUUCUUUUGUCUACAGAGACAUUCUCUACCCUCCCACUUCUCUUGACCUCCUGUUUGUGUGAUUAUGGUUAAGCCACGUCAAUAUUUUAUAUUACUAUUUUUUUUGUCUUAUUAUCUUUAUAAAAAAAAAAAUAUAAAAUAUUAAUAUGGCUUAACCGUGAUCACACAAAACAACAGGAGGGCACAGGAAGUGAGACUUUGUCUACAACCAAGUUUUAUAAAAAAGUUUGAGAUUUGAAAUGUGAUAGCGUCACACGUCGUACAAAUAGUAGAAAAGAUUGAUGGUAAAUUUCUUAAGGGUCGUGGUCCUGGAGCCGUCACGACAAGAAAAAGAGUACGCAAUUUGUGGGUUGAACCCAUUACAAUUAUUCAGAGCGUAAUAGUAAUUGCAAUUAGAGAUAUAUUUCGCUCAUAAUUAAGUAAAUUUAUUUCACUUAUUACAUGAUUCGUUGAUAAGGAAGAAUCAGUCAUGACAGGCAACAACCAAAAGACCCCAGCCCUGUCAUUGUCAUUAAAUUCGAUUUGUAUCAAAAGCCUGAUAUGAUAAGCACUUUAAUCGAGCUCAAUUCCCUUUCAAAUUAGGAAAACUAAUGAAAAUGAUUUGAAAAUUUUGAGUUUUAAUGAUAAAGACAAAAUAAAGGGUAAAGUGAAUAGUACCAGGAUUGACUUUUUAGUGUAAAAAUGUGGUUUUUCGUUAAAAUGAACAGUACCGGGUGCUUUUCGUUAAAGUUCCAUUUCUAAUUUCUUUAAAAGAAGCCUAUUAUAUAAGAAAAUUUUGUGCGGACUCAACAUGUCAUUAAACUUAAUAAACAUUUAACAUGUGGUAAGAAUUUUAAUUAUGACUUCAAAGUUAUGUUACCUUUUAAAUAUUUCAUAAUUACAUAAAAACUGAAAACAUAUUAUAAAGAUUAGUAAAAUUAAAAGUAGACUCCAAUCACCCAACCGGAGCACUCCUCCAUCAUCCGAGAAUUCAACCGUACGUGUCGGUAUCGUUUUACUAAACUUCCAAGGAAUAAGCUUUAUAUUUUCCAUUCUCUUAGAUUUUCCUAUCAUGGUUAGCUAAAUUCUUUGAACAAUAAAGGAGAAACAUUUUGUAUUUGCAAAAAUGGUUCAUCAUUGAAAAAAAAAAAACAAAAUAAGUCGAAUUUGGAUUCAACUAUAUGUAAUCAUUUUACAUGACCAAAGUCUAUAAAAUAUAUUCCAAUUAAACCAUUGAGAGAAAAUAUAAAGUGGUGGUAUUUCAGUUCUUUAAAAACAAGGGAGAUUUAACACAUAAAUUGGAGGACCAUGGUGAAUGCAACAAGCACCCCUUACUUAAGAAACUGAAACUUUAUCUCCCAGGUUUUUCCGGUGCAGGAAGUCUGGGUGAGUGUUUUUGUUUUAUUUGUUUUAAUGUUGGAAAUAAUUUUUAUUAUGUAAAUAGGAAAUUGUAGUUAAAUUUAACCACGCGUCAAAUUUUAUUGAGUUGUAGUGCCAUUAGGCAUUGUCUAGUGGCACGUUGAGCCCCACACAAGUUUUUCUUUUAUUGUAUUAGAGGAUCAAACACAAGAUAUAUUAGGUCAUCGGUUAAAUACAUUAUGAAAUGGAAGGCAGAUUGUCUGCCAUGUGCCCUUCUCAUCCAUUCCUAUUUGUGCGAUCACAGUUAAGCCACGUCAACAUUGUAUAUUCCUAUUGUUUUUUGUCUUAUUAUCUCUAUAAAAAAAUCAAUAUAAAAUGUUGACGUGACUUAACCGUGACCGCACAAAUAGGAGGGGAUGGGAAGGACACCAUAACAGGAGGGCAGACAAUCUGCCUCCUAUGAAAUGAGCCUUAUAAAAUAAGUGUAAAAAACAUGUGUCACCAGAUCGUAAUUGUGAGAACCCGUAUUUUUCAAAUUAUGAAAGCUGGAUCCAUUUCAACUUUAAGAACCAGUGCCUACCACAUUGGAAUUGGAUCAUUUCCUGAGCAGGAGAUCAGAAUCCUGCUGACCCACUAACACCGGCCUUUGGAUCAAAAUCCAACGACUGUAAUUAUUAUAACUUUUAGAAUGACCUCAUAUUUGUAGCUGUUAAAUCAAAAUCUAAUAUUCCGUGUUAUUAGAUCAGUAGGAUCCUGAUCUCUUGCUCAUGAGAGAGGAUCCAAUUCCUACCACACUAAACAAAUCAAUCAUCCUAUAUUUCAUUAUUUUAUUACCCAUCAUCAUCACACCUCCCCACCCUUUUCCCCAUUUUCAGCCGGCCUUCUUUCUUAAUUUUCUACGAACAUCACCAUGAUCCUUUUAUCUUUUCAACAUCAUCAUCAUUAUAUUAAUACUAUUCUUUUCUUUUCCCCCUACUUCUUUCCCAUGUCCACUUUGUAAGGAUUUUGUAGUAGUUUACUUGUAUAAGAGAAGUUCUUAUUUUACGUUUUUAGUUUUAUUAUACUUUUACUUGCUGGCCCGACGUGAGGUUCCUUUGAUCCCGGGUCCGGGGGCGUGACAAUAAUUCUAAAUUGAAAUCUUUAUACUGUUUGGGCCUUUUGUUAAACGCAUGCAAAUCAUAUUUGAAUAAUUGCUCAACAUUUUAUUUUUCGGAUAUACAAUCUUCAAAAUUUGGAUCCAGGUCCAACCCUUUUUUCAUGGAUAAUUAAAAUACCAUUUAUGAUUUAUCAACCAUCAUUUGUAAUUUUGUAUAUGACUCUUGGAGUGAGGAUCCUAGGGAUCCUCUAAUCAUAUCCGUUCAUCAUAAAUCAUACGAUUAGUUUUCAUCAAGUAUUGUUUAUAUUCAAUUUUAAAAAAUUUGCAAUGAUUUCUGACCGUACAAUGUAUAAUGAAUGAAUAUGAUUUAAGGAUAUCCGAAAUCCUCACAAAGAGGAUCUGGCAAGGAUCAUCUGUCCGACUCUUGGUCUUGGGCUAGUACGACAUAUUUGCUUAUAUUUUUGGUGAGUAACUAUGAUAUGUGAUUGUUGCGUUUGGAUGUUACUCAAUCCACCCAGUGAAAUUAAUUAAUGAAAAAUUGUCCCCAUGUAAGGAAACUUAUUAAUCAAUCAACACAUUACAAAUACAAUAAUUUUCCAUGCAUAGCAAGUAAAACUGGUCUAAGACUAUAUUCAAGUAAAAUGUCAAAAGUGUCAAAUAGGAUAAAAAGACAACAAAUUUCUUCAAUAAAUGAGUUUUACCUAAGGUGGAAUUGACGCCUUCCCAGACCUUUUUUUUCUUUUUUACAGCAUAGCCGUACGAUUUUGAUGUUCAUCAGGCCACCCCUUUUUUUUAAAAGAAAACUAAUGAAAAAAGGCUUUAAAACUUUGAGUUUUAACGAUAAAAACAAAAUAAAGGGUAAAGUGAAUAGUACCAUGAUUGAUUAUUUAGUGCAAAAAUAUAGUUUUUUGUUAAAAUGAACAGUACAUGAAGUUUUUUGUUAAAAUUCUCUUUUUCAAACCAAAAAUGAAUAUAUCAAAUCAAAAAGGGACAAAUUAAAGCAAAAGACAGAUUUUGGUUCCAACGGUAAAAGAUAGGAGAACAAAAAUUGAAUUUAAUCACGAUCACGUACGAUUUUGAUGUUCAUCAACUACUAACCUAUCGCAUACGGUGUUGAGUAGUAGGAAAAGAUCCAUAUCAUCAAAUCAAUUAAGUAAUUAAGCAGCCACAGUUUAUUGUAAAUCUCACAAAAUUUAGGUGAUAAAUAUAAUAUUUUACAAUCUUUUGCAUUAUCUGUCAUUUUGACCAAAUUUUAUCGUAGAGCCAUCGAUCUGCCUCAUUAUUUUAAUCUUAAUUGACAUUAUUACCUUUAUUUAUUUGUCUUUUUCGCACACAGGACAAGAUUUUUAUCUUAAUUGACAUUAUUCCUUCAGAGAGAGAAAUAAAUAAGUACCCGAACUAAUGUAAAUUGAUUACCAUAAACCGACAGAAUAUUAGUCAAUUGUUGUAGUCCAGAUUCUCUCAAUCAAGUUCAUUAAUCAACAAUUCAUAUGCAAAUCAGUACAACGUGGCUCUGAUGGGUUUUCAACACUUUUUUACAUGUAGGAUUCUCUUUUCUCUUUUCUUUUAUUUUUUUUUUUAAGAAAACUAAUGAAAAAUGUUUGAAAAUUUUGAUUUUUAAUGAAAAUAACAAAAUAAAGGGUAAAGUGAAUAGUAUCAUGAUUGACUUUUUAAUGUAAAAAUAUGAUUUUUCGUUAAAGUGAACAACACCAGGAGCUUUUCUUUAAAUUUUUUUUUUUUUGUCUUUUUCUUUAUAUAAAAAAAUCAAUACAAAAUAUUGACGUGAUUUAAUAAUGAACAUUUAAAUUGGAGAAGAGUAAAGGGAAGAAAAAAAAAUGAGAGAGUAGAAAAUUCGAAUUCAAUUUUUAACAUGUUGAGUUGUUGACCGGAUAGGUAAAGCUGUGGUUUAAUUUGUAAAAGUUUAUUUUAUACAAGUGUUUGCAUGUAUGUUCAUAGGGAAAUGAUUUUUCGUAACUUAAUUUGUUGGGUUAAAUAAUUAAAGUGCAUGAACAAAAGGAGGUAUGUAAGGAGAAAACGAAUGUGCAAAAUUAUUUUUCAUAAUUUUUGUAACAGAAAAUCCCACAAUAUAUAAUAAAGAAAAUAAUGAGUGCUAUUAUAUUAUCUUAGUGUUAUAUUUUUCCAUUCACAUGAUAAUCAUACCCACCAUAAAAAAUUAAAAAAGUAAAAUGUUAUUUCUCUACCACCAUUAUUUUCAAAAUAACCUUAAUAUAUUUUGUUUAAAUUUUUAUUUUUUUAAACAAAAAAGAAUAUGAUUAUAACAUGAAUUACACAACCACCCAUCGCAAAUGUCACUUGAAGGAAAAUUAUACGCCUAUAUAAUACAAAUGUUUACAGACUUCUCAAGAAAUAAAUAGCAGCACAAUUCCACAACUAACAUACAUUAUCAGAAAAUGUGUUAGUGUGUUCUCCGCAUGACCUUGAAACAAAAAUUAACAAAUUAUUCUACAGUGUUGUCAGCGAAUUUUUUGGCAAUUAUAGGACGAACAUCAUCAGAACUCCCUUCAAAGACCCUGAAUUCCUAACCACUUUUCAUCCUUUCUGUAAAAGUCUCAGAUUUCACCACCCAGUAUCUUUCUCAUAUGUUGAAGUUUCUCGCCUUACACACCAAUUCCUUCCUCCAACCUUUAUGUCGAUUGUAGCCCAAAUCUUUCCCAGCCUCUCUCCGACCCAAAUGUCACACACCCCACUGUGGAUGCAAAUUUCUUCCCCCUUGAUCUUGGACAAUUUUGCACCUACAAAACAAUUAACACCUUAGGUUAAGGCCAAGAGCCUCACACGGCCACGAUGAAUGGGGGGGGCUUUGGCCGAAGAACCUCCGAUGCCAAAGUUAGAAUUUAGAGAGAAAGAGUGUUUAGAGAAUUUUGGGAUUUUUGCCAAAGUAUUGGAAUUGGCUUUUUUUGGUGAGAAUGAGAGUAUAUUUAUAGGGAUAGGAGGUGGCUAGGGUUUUUGUGUUUGAUUUAGGUUU